rnacentral:rRNA from 1 species
AUUGAACGCUGGCGGCAGGCCUAACACAUGCAAGUCGAACGGAGUGGCGAAAGGGUGAGUAACACGUGGGUGAACUGCCCUGCACUUCGGGAUAAGCCUGGGAAAAUGGGUCUAAUACCGGAUAGUGUGGGAUGGGCCCGCGGCCUAUCAGCUUGUUGGUGGGGUAAUGGCCUACGAAGGCGGCGACGUGUAGCCGGCCUGAGAGGGUGGACGGCCACAUUGGGACUGAGACACGGCCCAGACUCCUACGGGAGGCAGCAGUGGGGAAUAGUGCACAAUGGGCGGAAGCCUGAUGCAGCGACGCCGCGUGGGGGAUGACGGCCUUCGGGUUUUAAACUCCUUUCACCAUCGACGCGGUAGAUGGAGAAUAAGCACCGGCUAACUUCGUGCCAGCAGCCGCGGUAAUUC